CCUACGGGAGGCAGCAGUGAGGAAUAUUGGUCAAUGGACGAGAGUCUGAACCAGCCAAGUAGCGUGAAGGAUGACUGCCCUAUGGGUUGUAAACUUCUUUUAUAUGGGAAUAAAACGUUCCACGUGUGGGAUUUUGUAUGUACCAUAUUAAUAAGGAUCGGCUAACUCCGUGCCAGCAUCCGCGGUAAUACGGAGGUUCCGAGCGUUAUCCGGAUUUAUUGGGUUUAAAGGGAGCGUAGGUGGAUUGUUAAGUCAGUUGUGAAAGUUUGCGGCUCAACCGUAAAACUGCAGUUGAAACUGGCAGUCUUGAGUACAGUAGAGGUGGGCGGAAUUCGUGGUGUAGCGGUGAAAUGCUUAGAUAUCACGAAGAACUCCGAUUGCGAAGGCAGUUCACUGGACUGCAACUGACACUGAGGCGCGAAAGUGUGGGUAGCAAACAGGAUUAGAUACCCUAGUAGUC
rnacentral:rRNA from 1 species